rnacentral:rRNA from 1 species
ACAGCAGUAGCCGCGGUAAUACGUAGGUGGCAAGCGUUGUCCGGAAUUAUUGGGCGUAAAGCGCGCGCAGGUGGUUUAAUAAGCCUGAUGUGAAAGCCCACGGCUCAACCGUGGAGGGUCAUUGGAAACUGUUAAACUUGAGUGCAGGAGAGAAAAGUGGAAUUCCUAGUGUAGCGGUGAAAUGCGUAGAGAUUAGGAGGAACACAGUGGCGAAGGCGGCUUUUUGGCCUGUAACUGACACUGAGGCGCGAAAGUGUGGGGAGCGAACAGGAUUAGAUACCCCUGUAGUCCCUGUCUCUUAUACA